rnacentral:rRNA from 1 species
GAUGAACGCUGGCGGCGUGCCUAAUACAUGCAAGUCGAGCGAACAGACGAGGAGCCUGCUCCUCUGACGUUAGCGGCGGACGGGUGAGUAACACGUGGAUAACCUACCUAUAAGACUGGGAUAACUUCGGGAAACCGGAGCUAAUACCGGAUAAUAUAUUGAACCGCAUGGUUCAAUAGUGAAAGACGGUUUUGCUGUCACUUAUAGAUGGAUCCGCGCCGCAUUAGCUAGUUGGUAAGGUAACGGCUUACCAAGGCAACGAUGCGUAGCCGACCUGAGAGGGUGAUCGGCCACACUGGAACUGAGACACGGUCCAGACUACUACGGGAGGCAGCAGUAGGGAAUCUUCCGCAAUGGGCGAAAGCCUGACGGAGCAACGCCGCGUGAGUGAUGAAGGUCUUCGGAUCGUAAAACUCUGUUAUUAGGGAAGAACAAAUGUGUAAGUAACUAUGCACGUCUUGACGGUACCUAAUCAGAAAGCCACGGCUAACUACGUG